AAAAUAGUUACAAUCAAUCCUCCAAAUGAAAUUCCCCAUGGUGAUCUUAUACAGCAAGCUGUGGAAGAAUUCUUCUCUUCAAGGCUAGAGAAGUGUGAAGAAUACAGG